rnacentral:rRNA from 1 species
UACCGGCGGCUCGAGUGGUGACCACUUUUAUUGGGCUUAAAGCGUCCGUAGCCGGAUUGUUAAGUCUCUUGGGAAAUCCGCCGGCUUAACCGGCGGACGUCUAAGGGAUACUGGCAAUCUAGGGACCGGGAGAGGUGAGAGGUACUCCGGGGGUAGAAGUGAAAUUCUGUAAUCCUCGGGGGACCACCUGUGGCGAAGGCGUCUCACCAGAACGGCUCCGACAGUGAGGGACGAAAGCUGGGGGAGCAAACCGGAUUAGAUACCCGGGUAGUCCCAGCCGUAAACGAUGCGCGUUAGGUGUACUGGCGACCACGAGUCGCCGGGGUGCCGAAGGGAAACCGUGAAACGUGCCGCCUGGGAAGUACGGUCGCAAGGCUGAAACUUAAAGGAAUUGGCGGGGAGCACCACAACGGGUGGAGCCUGCGGUUU